GAUGAACGCUGGCGGCGUGCCUAAUACAUGCAAGUCGAGCGAACAGACGAGGAGCUUGCUCCUCUGACGUUAGCGGCGGACGGGUGAGUAACACGUGGAUAACCUACCUAUAAGACUGGGAUAACUUCGGGAAACCGGAGCUAAUACCGGAUAAUAUAUUGAACCGCAUGGUUCAAUAGUGAAAGACGGUUUUGCUGUCACUUAUAGAUGGAUCCGCGCCGCAUUAGCUAGUUGGUAAGGUAACGGCUUACCAAGGCGACGAUGCGUAGCCGACCUGAGAGGGUGGUCGGCCACCCUGGAACUGAGACACGGUCAAGACUCCUACGGGAGGCAGCAGUAGGGAAUCUUCCGCAAUGGGCGAAAGCCUGACGGAGCAACGCCGCGUGAGUGAUGAAGGUCUUCGGAUCGUAAAACUCUGUUAUUAGGGAAGAACAAAUGUGUAAGUAACUAUGCACGUCUUGACGGUACCUAAUCAGAAAGCCACGGCUAACUACGUG
rnacentral:rRNA from 1 species